rnacentral:rRNA from 1 species
UACGUAGGGAGCAAGCGUUGUCCGGAAUCAUUGGGCGUAAAGCGCGCGUAGGCGGCCAGAUAAGUCCGGUGUGAAAGUCACAGGCUCAACCUGUGAAUGCCGCUGGAAACUGUCUGGCUUGAGUCCGGAAGGGGCGAGUGGAAUUCCUGGUGUAGCGGUGAAAUGCGCAGAUAUCAGGAGGAACACCAAUGGCGAAGGCAGCUCGCUGGAACGGUACUGACGCUGAGGCGCGAAAGCGUGGGGAGCGAACAGG